AGCCCUCCAGCCCUUCGGAGGGGACGCGAGGGUUAACGCAUCGCUCGCAGCACAGAAACCGAGCCCGAAGCAUCGCGGGGCUUCCCCGGGACCCGGGCAGAAGGAGCCCCGUUCCCGGCCGCGCGGCCCCUCGCCACGUCCCGUCUGCUCCGUCCCAGCAGCGAGGUCCCCGCGGAGGCGAGGGCCACCGCGGCCGCAGCGACCCUCCCUGCCCGCCGGAGCGGCGGCUCCGGGCAGGUUUCCGGGCGCUCCACCUCCGCGGCGGGACCUCCCUUGGCAAAGAUUUCCACGCCGUUGCCCAGCGCCGGGGGCGGGUCUGAUCCCUCUGCCUGUGGCAAUUAAACCUUGGACUUCGGGGGCCGUAAACAAGCUGCAGCGAGAAGGUCGUCUGCAGAAGUCGUGGAAAACUGCGGAGACUGCCCGGAAAACCGCGUCGGCUGGAGGCAGGUUGUGGGGAAGGAGCGGGUCCUGCCAUGCGCGUCGCCGUCAUCGGGGCCGGCGUGAUGGGGCUCUCCACCGCCCUGUGCGUCCACGAGCAGUACGGCUCGCUGGUGCCGUCGCUGGAGCUCGCCGUCUACGCGGACCGCUGCACGCCGCGCACCACCAGCGACGGCGCCGCGGGGCUCUGGCAGCCCUACGCGCACGACAGCGGCGACCCGCGGGAGACGCUCUGGAGCAAAGAGACCUUCGACUACCUCCUCGGGCACGUCGGCUCGCCGCAGGCAGAGGAAAUGGGGCUUUUCCUAAUUUCUGGUUACAACCUGUUCAAACACCCCAUGCCGGACCCGUCUUGGAAAAACAUCGUCCUGGGGUUCAGGCACUUGACACCGAGGGAGCUCGAACUCUUCCCGGGCUACAGCUACGGCUGGUUCAACACGACGCUGAUGCUGGAGGGCAGGAGCUAUUUGCCGUGGCUCACCGAGAGGCUAACGCAGAGAGGGGUGAGGUUUUUCCACGAGAAGAUCGACUCUUUCCAGGAGGAGCCGGAUGACCGUGCUGGGAGGCGUGAACCAGGCGGGCAACUGGAACGAGGGCAACUGCGCCCGGGACCGCAGAGCCAUUUGGGAGAGCUGCUGCCGGCUGCUGCCUGCUCUCCGGAAAGCCACGAUCGUGCAGGAGUGGAGCGGCCUGAGACCCCUGCGGCCCCGCGUCCGCCUGGAGAGGGAGGCCCUCGGCCACGGGCACGCGCCGCUGGAGGUGAUACACAACUACGGCCACGGCGGCUUCGGCAUCACCGUCCACUGGGGCUGCGCCAUGGCCGCGGCCGGGCUCCUCGGCACCAUCCUGCAGGAGAAGCAGCAGCUCAGUCCGCCGCGGUCCCGCAUCUGAGCUACCCGCUCGCCCCGCGUUAUUUUAGCAGCAGUAGCUUAGAAAUCACAGCAGGAAAGCACAAAUAAAUCGCACCGGUUGGACCCGCCAGCAGUGUCAACACUGGUUUGUACCGUCUCGUUUUUGGACAGCUGCCGGUUCCGUCGCUGCCCGCUGCCGCGCGGCUGCGUUUCCUGCAGCCCGGCCUUGCGCAGCUCGCUCAGAGGAGGUGCUUUAAAAAAUGGACUAAUUAUCAGUGGCAAAGUGCACUCGUGUCCCGGGGAUCAGGCUGCAAAGAGCAGGCAGGGUUCAGCUGGGAUCUCGACAGCCCUGCGGUUCAUCUGCGCCGUGGGGCAGGAUCUGAAAGUGAGCCGGUGCCACCUGAGGUCUCCCCGGCUGCUCGGCCACCCUGCGCGUAAUGGGAUUUGCAAGCUGCCCCCGGGAGGCGAAAGCUCCUUAGCAGGACGAAGCUCUGAAGCUCCCAGGAGAGCCAGAACAGCCCCAAAAGCUUCGGCCACAAACGGGACACCGUGGGACAGAAGAGUCGUGGAGAUUUAAAUUCACUUUUGUGGCCAGCGUAAGAUAAGAGAGAAUCAGUGGGAAGUCUGGACAGCUGCGGUCUACACUCUUCCGACAAGCAGAACGCCCCAUCUCCAGCGGCCAGCAUCAGCACAUUUUAGCAACUCUCAGUUCUCAACAACGAUUGCCUGUGACACAGAACAAAGCUGGAAAUACAUCAAGUAUCAGUAAAGUUAUCCUCUGUAAGCAAACAGCAGCUCUGGUAUUCCAGAAAACAGAAUGAGCCUUAGAAACGCCUGGAGAGGCCGAGAAGUUCAGAGAAAGCCCUGAGAAUGGAAAUGCUCCCUAAGCGCUGCUCCCCUGACACAAACCCUUCCAGACACAGACUAAAUCACCUCCUCCCAAACACCUUUGUGAUCUACAGUCAUAUAUUGCAGCAUUAAAGGCACUGCUAGAAAAUCACUGUAGGCCAAAAGCAAAAGUGACUGUCUUUUAUUGUCCAAACUAAAUGAAAUGCAAAAAGCAA